rnacentral:rRNA from 1 species
GACGAACGCUGGCGGCGUGCUUAACACAUGCAAGUCGAACGGAAAGGCCUCUUUCUUGGGGUACUCGAGUGGCGAACGGGUGAGUAACACGUGAGUAACCUGCCCUUUACUUUGGGGUAACUUCAGGAGACUGUGGCUAAUACCGCAUAUGAGCUCCUGCGGCAUGGUGUGGGUUUGAAAAUUUCUGCGGUUGGGGUUGGGCUCUCGGCUUAUCAGCUGUUGUGUGGGGUGUGGGCUUACCAAGGCUUUGACGGGUAGCCGGCCUGGGAGGGUGACCGGCCAAUUGGGAACGAGGAUAGGGCCAGGCUGCGAAGGGGGGGCGCCGUGGGGAAUAAUGACAAAAUGGUGGAAGGCUGAUGCAGCAAAGCCGUGUGGGGGAUGAAGGGCCUUGGGUUGUAAAACGUUUUUGGUCAUGAAGGAGGUUUGUGUGACGGUAGUGGGUAAAGAAGCACCGGCUAACUACGUG